rnacentral:rRNA from 1 species
AUUGAACGCUAGCGGGAUGCCUUACACAUGCAAGUCGAACGGAGUAGCGAACGGGUGCGUAAGGUAUCGGAACGUGACCAGUAGCGGGGGAUAACUACGCGAAAGCGUAGCUAAUACCGCAUACUAUUGCAGCUGCCGAUAGCGGAUUAGGUAGUUGGGGGGGUAACGGCUCACCAAGGCGACGAUCCCUAGCUGGUCUGAGAGGACGACCAGCCACACUGGGACUGAGACACGGCCCAGACUCCUACGGGAGGCAGCAGUGGGGAAUAUUGGACAAUGGGGGAAAGCCUGAUGCAGCCAUCCCGCGUGUGUGAUGAAGGCCUUCGGGUUGUAAAGCACUUUUGGCAGGAAGGCGGUACCCGCAGAAGAAGCACCGGCUAACUACGUGCCAGCCGCCGCGGUAAUAC